CACGCCGUAAACGUUGGGCACUAGGUGUGGGUCCUUAUCAACGGGAUCCGUGCCGUAGCUAACGCAUUAAGUGCCCCGCCUGGGGAGUACGGCCGCAAGGCUAAAACUCAAAGGAAUUGACGGGGGCCCGCACAAGCGGCGGAGCAUGUUGCUUAAUUCGAGGCAACGCGAAGAACCUUACCUGGGCUUGACAUGUACCGAAAAGCCAUAGAGAUAUGGUGUCCUUCGGGGCGGUACACAGGUGG
rnacentral:rRNA from 1 species